CCAACUGGGCAGAGGGAUCCUCCUCCUGUCAUCCUUGUUUGCAGGGUUCAGAGGAGAAUGGAGUGAGACUGAGUAAACCCACCAAAGAAGCUUCCCAGGAUUUCACUGGUGUUCCAGUUGUUUCUUGCAGCAAACCCAAGUGCUUUUAGAAGGCUUUUCUUUAUAUACAAACAAGGAAGAUGUACAGCAUGCCAUCUCUACAGCAUACUCAGAUGAAAUGGUAAGAUGGCCAAGGACAGAUUUUCCUUCCUACAGCAUCUUGGAGCUGGUACCAGCUGUGCAAGAUGACCGACAAGGU